rnacentral:rRNA from 1 species
CGGGUCGCUGCAGCAGUGGGGAAUAUUGCACAAUGGGCGCAAGCCUGAUGCAGCCAUGCCGCGUGUAUGAAGAAGGCCUUCGGGUUGUAAAGUACUUUCAGCGGGGAGGAAGGGAGUAAAGUUAACACCUUUGCUCAUUGACGUUACCCGCAGAAGAAGCACCGGCUAACUCCGUGCCAGCAGCCGCGGUAAUACGGAGGGUGCAAGCGUUAAUCGGAAUUACUGGGCGUAAAGCGCACGCAGGCGGUUUGUUAAGUCAGAUGUGAAAUCCCCGGGCUCAACCUGGGAACUGCAUCUGAUACUGGCAAGCUUGAGUCUCGUAGAGGGGGGUAGAAUUCCAGGUGUAGCGGUGAAAUGCGUAGAGAUCUGGAGGAAUACCGGUGGCGAAGGCGGCCCCCUGGACGAAGACUGACGCUCAGGUGCGAAAGCGUGGGGAGCAAACAGGAUUAGAUACCCGAGUAGUC